rnacentral:rRNA from 1 species
UAGGGAAUCUUCCACAAUGGACGCAAGUCUGAUGGAGCAACGCCGCGUGAGUGAGAAGGUCUUCGGAUCGUAAAACUCUGUUGUUAGAGAAGAACACGAGUGAGAGUAACUGUUCAUUCGAUGACGGUAUCUAACCAGCAAGUCACGGCUAACUACGUGCCAG